GGGUGCGAUCAUGCCAGCGUUAAUGCACCGGAUCCCAUCAGGACUCCGCAGUUAAGCGCGCUUGGGCUAGAGUAGUACUGGGAUGGGUGACCUCCCGGGAAGUCCUAGUGUUGCACCCUG
rnacentral:rRNA from 1 species